UACCGGGGGGGCAAGCGUUGUUCGGAAUUACUGGGCGUAAAGGGCUCGUAGGUGGCCAACUAAGUCGGACGUGAAAUCCCUCGGCUUAACCGGGGAACUGCGUCUGAUACUGGAUGGCUUGAGUUCGGGAGAGGGAUGCGGAAUUCCAGGUGUAGCGGUGAAAUGCGUAGAUAUCUGGAGGAACACCGGUGGCGAAGGCGGCAUCCUGGACCGACACUGACGCUGAGGAGCGAAAGCCAGGGGAGCAAACGGG
rnacentral:rRNA from 1 species